rnacentral:misc_RNA from 1 species
UCACCAAAGGAUGCAGUACUAGA